UGUUGGACUGAAGCAGAUCAACAGGUUUGACAGCGCCGUUAAACUUCCUGGUCUUACAAACUAAAACAGGAGAGAAAUAUAUUUUUAGAUGCGGGAAAAGUUUAAACAGCGUGUCAAACAUUUACUGUAAUAAAUUAAAUACCGAAUAUGAGCCGCUCUGAAAUGUGGAAACGCUUCAGCUAAAGCAGCAGAUGUGUUUAUAUGAGGAACAGAGAAGGAUUUUAUGAAUUUGAAUCUACAGAAAGAGAUAAAGAUGGCAACUGCAAACAAUGAGUUUAAACUCGUUGGUCCCAGUGGUACAGAGGACUAUAAUCGCUCUGCUGUCACUCUCUCAUGUCAUCUGUCUCCUGAAAUCAGUGCUGUUAACAUGGAGAUCCGGUGGUUUAAGGAGACAGACUGUGUUUGUGU